rnacentral:lncRNA from 1 species
CAACAGGACUGGGUAUCAGAGGGUGUUAGGGUAUAUCCCAACAGAGGAGAGACAGGAGGCAACAGGACUGGGUAUCAGAGGGUGUGAAGUGAAGGUCAACAUGCAGGGAAACAUCUAUGCAGUUGUCUCUGUCCUCAAACUCUCUGUCAUAAAUAAGCCGAGGUGCAGCGUGCCGGUAAUUCCACAUACUUUAUUUAGAAGUGAAACCGAACAAAACAAUAAACAGGAUGAACAUCACACCCUGACCUAACCAAACUAGAGGAAAAUAAACGUCUCUAAGGUCAGGGCGUGACAACAGUAGUGAAGGACUGGUCAACAUGCAGGGAAGCAUCCAUAUAGUAGUGAAUCCCUGGUCAACAUGCAGGGAAACAUGUAUACAGUAGUGAAGGUCAACAUGCAGGGAAACAUCUAUACAGUAGUGAAGGUCAACGUGCAGGGAAACAUCUAUACAGUAGUGAAGGUCAACGUGCAGGGAAACAUCCAUAUAGUAGUGAAGGACUGGUAAACAUGCAAGGAAACAUCCAUAUAGUAGUGAAGGACUGGUAAACAUGCAGGGAAACAUCUAUACAGUAGUGAAGGUCAACGUGCAGGGAAACAUCCAUAUAGUAGUGAAGUACUGGUAAACAUGCAGGGAAACAUCUAUACAGUAGUGAAGGUCAACAUGCAGGGAAACAUCUAUACAGUAGUGAAAAUUCAACAUGCAGGGAAACAUCUAUACAGUAGUGAAGGUCAACAUGCAGGGAAACAUCUAUACAGUAGUGAAAGUCAACAUGCAGGGAAACAUCUAUACAGUAGUGAAGGUCAACAUACAGGGAAACAUCUAUACAGUAGUGAAGGUCAACAUGCAGGGAAACAUCCAUAUAGUAGUGAAGGUCAACAUGCAGGGAAACAUCCAUAUAGUAUUGAAGGACUGGUAAACAUGCAGGGAAACAUCUAUACAGUAGUGAAGAUCAACAUGCAGGGAAACAUCUAUACAGUAGUGAAGGUCAACAUGCAGGGAAACAUCCAUAUAGUAUUGAAGGGCUGAUCCACAUGCAGGAAAACAUCCAUAUAGUAGUGAAGUGCUGGUCCACAUGCAGGGAAACAUCUAUACAGUAGUGAAGGUCAACAUGCAUGGAAACAUCUAUACAGUAGUGAAGGUCAACAUGCAGGGAAACAUCCAUAUAUUAGUGAAAGUCAACAUGCAGGGAAACAUCUAUACAGUAGUGAAGGUCAACGUGCAGGGAAACAUCCAUAUAGUAGUGAAAUGCUGGUCAACAUGCAGGGAAACAUCUAUACAGUAGUGAAGGUCAACAUGCAGGGAAACAUCCAUAUAGUAGUGAAGGUCAACAUGCAGGGAAACAGCUAUACAGUAGUGAAGAUCAACGUGCAGGGAAACAUCCAUAUAGUAGUGAAGGUCAGCAUGCAGGGAAACAUCUAUACAGUAGUGAAGGUCAACAUGCAGGGAAACAUCUAUACAGUAGUGAAGGUAAACAUGCAGGGA